rnacentral:snRNA from 1 species
UCGCUUUGGCAGCACAUCUACUAAAACUGGAGCAAUACGGAGACCAUUAGCAUGGCUUCUGUGCAAGGAUAACAUGUAAAUUCAUGGAGCAGCCUAUACUUUU